rnacentral:rRNA from 1 species
CCUACGGGUGGCAGCAGUGGGGAAUAUUGGGCAAUGGGCGCAAGCCUGACCCAGCAACGCCGCGUGAAUGAAGAAGGCUUUCGGGUUGUAAAGUUCUUUUCUGAGGGACGAAGAAAGUGACGGUACCUCAGGAAUAAGCCACGGCUAACUACGUGCCAGCAGCCGCGGUAAUACGUAGGAGGCAAGCGUUAUCCGGAUUUAUUGGGGGUAAAGGGCGUGUAGGCGGUAAAGCAAGUCGGAGGUGAAACCUCAGGGCUCAACCCUGGACCUGCAUUUGAAACUGUUUUUCUUGAGUGCUGGAGGGGCAAUCGGAAUUCCGAGUGUAGCGGUGAAAUGCGUAGAUAUAAGGAGGAACACCAGUGGCGAAGGCGGAUUGCUGGACAGUAACUGACGCUGAGGCGCGAAAGCGUGGGGAGCAAACAGGAUUAGAUACCCCAGUAGUC